rnacentral:lncRNA from 13 species
AAGACACUUCGUAUAAACCAGGAAAUGUGCCCUCACUAGACACAGAAUCUGCUGGUGACAUGGUCUUGAACUUCUCAGCCAAGAGAAUUUGGUAUCCAUCCUUGGAUCAGGUGGUACAGUCUGGCCCUAUAGAGGAACAUGAAGGAACAAGGAAUACAUACAUUCAGAAGACAGCGGUGCACAGUGCAACCAGACCUCUGUCAGCAUCCUUUUCUUUUCCCUUUCUCAAAGAAUCUUCAUGCAGUAGACAUUUCAAGUUUGAGUGAGAAGUCUCAACACAUGAAGAGAUGAGAAACAGAG